rnacentral:rRNA from 1 species
CUUUUCUUGUUUUGUUUAUGAAGUAUAACCUGCCCAAUGAUAAUUUUAAUGGCCGCGAUAUUAUGAUCGUGCAAAGGUAGCAUAAUCAUUAGUCUUUUAAUUUGAGGCUGGAAUGAAUGGUUGGACGAGAUAAUUACUAUCUUAGAUUAGUUUAAUUAGAAUUUAAUUAUUAAGUUAAAAAGCUUAAAUCUUUUUUUGGGACGAGAAGACCCUAUAGAAUUUUAUAUUAUUAUAAAUUAUUAAUUAUUUGUAAUUAUAAUAAAUUUAUUUUAAUAUUUGGUUGGGGUGAUAUAAAGAUAAAAAUAACUCUUUAUAAUUUUAUAAAUUAAUAAAUUUAUUUUUGAUCCAUUAUUAUUGAUUAAAAGACUAAAUUACCUUAGGGAUAACAGCGUAAUUCUUUUUGAGAGUUCUAAUUGACAAGAGAGAUUGCGACCUCGAUGUUGGAUUAAGAAUAAUAUUGGGUGUAGAAGCUUAAAAUAUUAAGUCUGUUCGACUUUUAAAUUCUUACA